CCCAGGGCCUGCUCAUGCUUUCCUUUCUCUUGAGAGAACUGAAAUGGACAGGACAAAUGACUGGCUCAAGGUCACACUGCAGCUGUGGGAACUAAAAAUCCUCCUCCAUCUCCAGGGCUGGACCUGUUACCUCCUGGCUUCUCCCUGUUCUUGGCUUGCGUCUUUCCCCCUCAUCACAGAGCACAGCAUGCUGAAGGGAGGCCAGCAGGACUUAAUUUGGUCAUGAAAUUUCUAAGUUUACUCAUUCAUAAUCUCAUGGUGUAAUGGAAAUAAAGGCCCCAGACUCAGACUAUCUGGUUUCUG
rnacentral:lncRNA from 1 species